rnacentral:misc_RNA from 1 species
GAUGAAGAACGUAGCGAAAUGGGAUACUUGGUGUGAAUUGCAGAAUCCCGUGAACCAUCGAGUCUUUGAACGCAAGUUGCGCCCGAAGCCUCGGCUAAGGGCACGUCUGCCUGGGCGUCACGCAUCGCGUCUCCCCCAAACCGCCAAGGCGGAGGGGAAGGAAGAUGGCUUCCCGUGCCUCACCCGGCGCGGUUGGCCUAAAUUUGGAGCCCGCGGCACUUAGCUCUCGCGGCGAUAGGUGGUGAACAAGGCCUUGGCCGUGCAAACAACCCGCUGCGAAGCUCUAUGUCACGUGCGCUCGUCGGACCCUUUGAAGUUGCCUUCGGUGACUUAAAACCUUUGCGACCCCAGGUCAGGAGGGGCUACCCGCUGAAUUUAAGCAUAUCAAUAAGCGGAGGA